rnacentral:rRNA from 1 species
GACGAACGCUGGCGGCGUGCUUAACACAUGCGAGUCGAACGGAAAGGCCCUGCUUUUGUGGGGUGCUCGAGUGGCGAACGGGUGAGUAACACGUGAGUAACCUGCCCUUGACUUUGGGAUAACUUCAGGAAACUGGGGCUAAUACCGGAUAGGAGCUCCUGCUGCAUGGUGGGGGUUGGAAAGUUUCGGCGGUUGGGGAUGGACUCGCGGCUUAUCAGCUUGUUGGUGGGGUAGUGGCUUACCAAGGCUUUGACGGGUAGCCGGCCUGAGAGGGUGACCGGCCACAUUGGGACUGAGAUACGGCCCAGACUCCUACGGGAGGCAGCAGUGGGGAAUAUUGCACAAUGGGCGGAAGCCUGAUGCAGCAACGCCGCGUGCGGGAUGACGGCCUUCGGGUUGUAAACCGCUUUCGCCUGUGACGAAGCGUGAGUGACGGUAACGGGUAAAGAAGCACCGGCUAACUACGUG